AGCGAACGCUGGCGGCAGGCCUAACACAUGCAAGUCGAACGGACCCUUCGGGGUUAGUGGCGGACGGGUGAGUAACACGUGGGAACGUGCCUUUAGGUUCGGAAUAGCUCCUGGAAACGGGUGGUAAUGCCGAAUGUGCCCUUCGGGGGAAAGAUUUAUCGCCUUUAGAGCGGCCCGCGUCUGAUUAGCUAGUUGGUGGUGUAACGGACCACCAAGGCGACGAUCAGUAGCUGGUCUGAGAGGAUGAUCAGCCACAUUGGGACCGAGACACGGCCCAAACUCCUACGGGAGGCAGCAUUGGGGAAUCUUGCGCAAUGGGCGAAAGCCUGACGCAGCCAUGCCGCGUGAAUGAUGAAGGUCUUAGGAUUGUAAAAUUCUUUCACCGGGGACGAUAAUGACGGUACCCGGAGAAGAAGCCCCGGCUAACUUCGUGCCAGCCGCCGCGGUAAAAC
rnacentral:rRNA from 1 species